GACGAACGCUGGCGGCGCGCCUAACACAUGCAAGUCGAACGGAGCUGAGAGAAGCUUGCUUUUCUUAGCUUAGUGGCGAACGGGUGAGUAACGCGUGAGUAACCUGCCCUGGAGUGGGGGACAACAGUUGGAAACGACUGCUAAUACCGCAUAAGCCCACGAUCCGGCAUCGGAUUGAGGGAAAAGGAUUUAUUCGCUUAAGGAUGGACUCGCGUCCAAUUAGCUAGUUGGUGAGGUAACGGCCCACCAAGGCGACGAUUGGUAGCCGGACUGAGAGGUUGAACGGCCACAUUGGGACUGAGACACGGCCCAGACUCCUACGGGAGGCAGCAGUGGGGGAUAUUGCACAAUGGGGGAAACCCUGAUGCAGCGACGCCGCGUGGAGGAAGAAGGUUUUCGGAUUGUAAACUCCUGUCGUUAGGGACGAUAAUGACGGUACCUAACAAGAAAGCACCGGCUAACUACGUG
rnacentral:rRNA from 1 species